GACGAACGCUGGCGGCGUGCUUAACACAUGCAAGUCGAACGGAAAGGCCCUGCUUUUGUGGGGUGCUCGAGUGGCGAACGGGUGAGUAACACGUGAGUAACCUGCCCUUGACUUUGGGAUAACUUCAGGAAACUGGGGCUAAUACCGGAUAGGAGCUCCUGCUGCAUGGAGGGGGUUGGAAAGUUUCGGCGGUUGGGGAUGGACUCGCGGCUUAUCAGCUUGUUGGUGGGGUAGUGGCUUACCAAGGCUUUGACGGGUAGCCGGCCUGGGAGGGUGACCGGCCACAUUGGGACUGAGAUACGGCCCAGACUCCUACGGGAGGCAGCAGUGGGGAAUAUUGCACAAUGGGCGGAAGCCUGAUGCAGCAACGCCGCGUGCGGGAUGACGGCCUUCGGGUUGUAAACCGCUUUCGCCUGUGACGAAGCGUGAGUGACGGUAAUGGGUAAAGAAGCACCGGCUAACUACGUG
rnacentral:rRNA from 1 species